GAUGAACGCUAGCUACAGGCUUAACACAUGCAAGUCGAGGGGAAACGAUAUUGGAAGCUUGCUUCCGAUAGGCGUCGACCGGCGCACGGGUGAGUAACGCGUAUCCAACCUGCCCAUCACUUGGGGAUAACCUUGCGAAAGUAAGACUAAUACCCAAUGACGUCUCUAGAAGACAUCUGAAAGAGAUUAAAGAUUUAUCGGUGAUGGAUGGGGAUGCGUCUGAUUAGCUUGUUGGCGGGGUAACGGCCCACCAAGGCGACGAUCAGUAGGGGUUCUGAGAGGAAGGUCCCCCACAUUGGAACUGAGACACGGUCCAAACUCCUACGGGAGGCAGCAGUGAGGAAUAUUGGUCAAUGGGCGAGAGCCUGAACCAGCCAAGUAGCGUGAAGGAUGACUGCCCUAUGGGUUGUAAACUUCUUUAUAAAGGAAUAAAGUCGGGUAUGCAUACCCGUUUGCAUGUACUUUAUGAAUAAGGAUCGGCUAACUCCGUGCCAGCAGCCACGG
rnacentral:rRNA from 1 species